rnacentral:rRNA from 1 species
UACGUAGGUGGCAAGCGUUGUCCGGAUUUACUGGGCGUAAAGAGCGCGCAGGCGGUCGAUUUAGUCGUGUGUGAAAGCCCCCCGGCUCAACUGGGGAGGGUCACGCGAUACUGAUCGACUCGAAGGCAGGAGAGGGUAGUGGAAUUCCCGGUGUAGUGGUGAAAUGCGUAGAUAUCGGGAGGAACACCAGUGGCGAAGGCGACUACCUGGCCUGUUCUUGACGCUGAGGCGCGAAAGCUAGGGGAGCAAACGGG